UAGCCUUGACAUAUAAUGGGAUUCGACAGAGAUGUUGAAGUGCCUUCGGGAGCCAUAAUAC
rnacentral:rRNA from 1 species